UACGGGAGGCAGCAGUGGGGAAUAUUGCACAAUGGGCGCAAGCCUGAUGCAGCCAUGCCGCGUGUAUGAAGAAGGCCUUCGGGUUGUAAAGUACUUUCAGUCGUGAGGAAGGUGUUAAGGUUAAUAACCUUAGCAAUUGACGUUAGCGACAGAAGAAGCACCGGCUAACUCCGUGCCAGCAGCCGCGGUAAUACGGAGGGUGCGAGCGUUAAUCGGAAUUACUGGGCGUAAAGGGCACGCAGGCGGUUAAUUAAGUUGGAUGUGAAAUCCCCGGGCUUAACCUGGGAAUGGCAUUCAAGACUGGUUAGCUAGAGUCUUGUAGAGGGGGUAGAAUUCCAUGUGUAGCGGUGAAAUGCGUAGAGAUGUGGAGGAAUACCGGUGGCGAAGGCGACCCCUGGACAAAGACUGACGCUCAUGUGCGAAAGCGUGGGGAGCAAAC
rnacentral:rRNA from 1 species